GAACAAGCCAAAAACAACCUCCAGUGCUAUCCAAACAAUUUACAAAUUACAACCCUAACCAGUAACUUGAUUGAUAAACUUCAAAGUUCAAACACACAUGAAAUCCCUAAAAUCCCACUAACAUAAAAUCUAACAACUCACAACCUCCAAUCGUCACACUCACACGUUAGCUAUGUCACAACCCAUUAGCACCAACACCAUCACUAUGAAGAAUCUGCUUGUUGGCUAGUCCAGAAAAGAAAAAAGAUCACAACUUUAGAAUCUCCUACAAAUCGAACCCAACUUUUUUUUCUUUGCAGAAUCACCAAAAAUGAUAACUACACAAUCCACAUGAAAUGAUUCAUGUUAGCACACAUUAAAACUUAUUCACACAAAAUGAUUGAUUCUACUACAUAAAGGUUUAUACAGAAUCAUAGCAACGCAACCAGCUUCUUCAUUACAAUUCCAUUAACACAUAAAAAACCCCAUAACGUUAUAUAUAGAUAGAGUAUAGAUCCAACAAACUACUCAUGAUGAACUAAAAUUAUACAUGUAUAUUUAGCAUCUGGCCAUCUGGGUCAGCUUCGCCUCUCCAGACAUUACAAAAUAAAACCCGGAAUUAAAAACCCAUUAAUCGUUUGAUUAAUCCCAUCAUUAAUCAAGCUCUUAAAAGUUGUGGUUGUUAUGUAUUUCAUAUAGGUAAAAUUAUACUGUUUGGAUAUAUAUGGGCCGGG